rnacentral:lncRNA from 1 species
GCCAGGGUUCACAACCAGACAGUAGACAUUGAGUAAACAAGUGUUUUGAUCAAAAAGUGUGAUCAGAGGAAAAUGAAAGUCAGGAUAAUCCCUGCUACCAAUAAACAAAUACAAGGAUAGUGAUGAAUCUAUGGUGGAUUAAAAGUCGUCUAGAAAGUAGGUUUCGCACAGGCUUGGAUUUAAGUUUACGGUUAAAGACUAACACCAUUGUAUAGGUGAAUAACGAGAGCCAGGAUGGAAUUAUCUUUCGUUUCGCAACAAUUCCUGACAUUUUCGUGGCGACGAAACGCCGGCCUUUUGUAAAGUUGUCAGUCAAACAACCAUACAAACAACAUGUUGUAACUAUCAGAUGAUCGAUUCAACGGCAACUCGUUAAUCGCGGAGCUCCUUGGUAUCACGAAGGUCGCAUCAUGCUUCAUAAUUCUCCGGCGCAUAAGCGGAUUUUACCAGAAAUUCAAUUAACGAUUUCAAAACGAUAUCCGAAAAGAACUGCGACAGAAAUGGACGAUCAAUUUUACUAUUCAUUAGUUUUUUUAACUACCACCGAUCUAAAUUAAUAUGCAUGUAUGUAGAUGGAUACAGCGUUAUGUAACUGGCUGCCUUUUUAUGGAAAUCCCUGUUCAUAAAUUAAAAAUUAUGUAGGCAGAUUCUUUCGGCGUUGACAUAAUCAGCUGGAUGUAGUCUCUCGAAAGGUAGAUCGAAUCUUCUUUUAAUUGCCAAACGCAUCUAAUUAUAUGACUUAUAAUUCAUUACACGUAUUCUGUACAACUACUACGUUAACAGCUGUUUCAAAAUUUCCAUACAUUAUUCGUUUCAUUCAUUUUUUACUCGUCCUGGAAAAUUUUGACGAGCCUUAAAAUAUGCGUUGUUUUUGAAUCUUCACGAAUUUAAAUUUGUACUAAUUUUAACGAAACUUUUGGCGGGUGUUACAUUUUUUCGCUAACGCAUACAAUGUGAUAUCCCCCAGAUUGGUGGAUCUCAUUAACUUUCUAACAGCUCGUCCUUAAGGCUGAUAUAAGUGGAUGUGCCUUGCAUUUUUUACUUUCACCGAGCACCCGAUUCUCAUAAAUUUUAUUUCGAAACAAGUUACGUUUAUUACCACAUAGACGGCGGAGAUGUUACCAGAAUAAAGAAGAUGAAACAAGAGAGCGCCGGCAACCGGAUGUGUGUAUUAAACUAGAACACCAAUGGAUAUCGAAGCGGAGUGGUGGCAAUAGUGAUUUACUGAUAUCUGUACUGAUAGUUGAGACAUAUUAAUAGAUGGUCUGACAAUUUAUUGUUAAUAGUAUACUGAUAAGAUUAAUGAUGUUGAUAUGAAUAUUAAUAGAUAUAUUGAUAAGGUGUAGAGUAUACUGGUAAUAAUACUUGAUAUUGUAGUAUAUAUUGAUAUUAUUAUUAUUAGUAGAACUAAGAGUAUAGUAUUGACAUUAUUAGUAAUAGUACAUAAAUAUUGUAAAAUUAAUAAUAGCUACUAUAGUAAUAGUAACAGCACAUGUUCAUAACAAUAGUAACACACAGUGUUGAGAAUGUCAAUACUAGUAUUUAAUACUCACACUAUGAAAAAGGUUGAUACUAGUAGUGGUUGCUAACAGUAAUAAUAAUGCAUUGCUACUAAUAAUAAUAUAGUGCUACUAGUGUAUAUAACACUAUAUUAUAUAAUAUGCAACACACACAUAACAUUUAUAUUGCUGCUAUUACUGCUACAGUAUUCUGUUACUAUUACUACAAUAAAGUAAUUACUGUUAUUAUAGGAAACAUAUUGUAUAUUAAUAGUAACAGCAGUAAUAUACACUAGUACUAGUAGUAAUAUUGAUAGCUUUUAUUAAUAGUAAUAAUGAUACUAGUAGAAUAUAUUUAUACUAUAUUAAUUUGUUGAUGUAUAUAAAUACUGCAGGAAUAAUACUGUAUCAUAAUAUUACUGAUAGUACAACAAUUAUUACAAUAGUUACCAAUAGUUAAUAGUAAAUAGAUACUUGAUAUUACUUCGUACUAAUAUUAGUCAAAAAUAGUAUUUAACAACUAUUGCAGU